rnacentral:tRNA from 1 species
GCGCUCUUAGUUCAGUUCGGUAGAGCGUGGGUCUCCAAAACCCAAUGUCGUAGGUUCAAAUCCUACAGAGCGCG